rfam:HIV-1 isolate ARMA062 from Argentina vif gene, partial sequence; vpr protein (vpr), tat protein (tat), and rev protein (rev) genes, complete cds; and long terminal repeat, complete sequence.
UUUUUUAAAGAAAAUUUUGCCUUCCCACAAGGGGAGGCCUAGAAAUUUCCUU